CAUCUGGCCACAGUUGGGAUGGUGACUCAUUUCUAAACCCAGCUUGUAGGAAGGUGAGGACUCUCCUAUCUGGACUCAACCAAUUGGAGAGAUGUUGACUGUCAUAUCUGGACGUAGAACCACAGGGAAGACUCUGGAUCUCCUUCCUGUAUGAAGGUCACAGAGGAUCACCAUUCUUGCAUAUUGUAUAAAGCCUUCAGGUGACACAGAGAGUGUCAUAAGAGAACACAGCACACAGAUGCACGUGACAUUUGGUGCCGAAGACCCAGGAU
rnacentral:lncRNA from 1 species